rnacentral:lncRNA from 1 species
CAUUCUCCGGCGGUUUCCGACGGGUCCCGACCAGUCCGUGGUUGUGAGCAACUUUUGCAAAGCCGUGAUUCUGGGGGUGUUGUACUCCAUAACCAUAGGAGGGAUGAGCACUCUAACGGGGACCGAUGUCAAUCUCAUAUUGGUUGGAAUGUGGAAGACCUAUUUCCCACAAGCAGCUCCGAUCACCUUCAGCACUUGGUUCUGUUUCGCCUUCCCUUUGGCAUUGUUGAUGUUCUUGGCUUUGCGGGGUUUGCUUUGCUGCUUGUAUUGCUCAAGGAGUUCAGGCCAGGCUCUCUCUGUUUAUUUAGACAAAGCCCAUUUGAAGGAGGAGCUCGAAUUGCUAGGUAGGAUCUCUCAAACCUAGAGCAACUUACAUGCAUUCAACAUCGAAUUGUGGUGUAUCCUAAAUCAAUCAUGCAUUAUCGUGUGUGAAAUUUUUAACGACUAAAACUGCUUCUAAAUAAAUUAGGCAAAAAAAGUUCAAACGUGUCUUUGAGGGAGUAGGACUUUUAAUAAAAAAUCAACUUGUUUAUAAUGAAAGUACUGAUAUUAAAGAGUUAAUGAGAAAAAGUGUUUCUUACAAAAGUAAUUUUGAAAAAACCAUUCUUUUUUAUAGCAAUUGUUGUGGAUACCCCAAAUGCCAUAAUAAAAUAGUUAACACAUGGUAUCACCGUAUUGGUCAUUUUUUUUUAGCUUCUGGCCCAAUGUUCAAUAUCCAAUCUUAGGGACUAGAGAACACCUUCUGUGUAAAUGUAUUUCCAAAUCAACUUACAAUUGUUGAUGCGGCAACCGGCAGGUCCAAUGGAUUUUGCUGAGAAGAUGGUACUGGCUUUGUUUUCGGUGCGUCCCCAAGUACUCAGUUUCGCAUAGUUUUUUAGUAUGGAUGUGUCCUCCAGUUAUUAUGACUAGCAUUUUCUGCAGAUGCUGAUUGUUUUGUGGAUGACAAGAAGCAUAACGGAGGAUAUUCCGGGCUGGGGAGUCCUCUUCAACGGGCAUGCCGGAGAUGGAACUGUCAGUGUGAGUAUUGACAUUUCUUCUUAUGUGUUCUAACUUUAAACACGAAAUAGCCUUAUAAACAGACCUUUCGUUGGAUCAAAUUUUCAAGUGUGACUUAAAAAUGUUUGUAGGUUAUGAUUGCAACUUUUUUGUUCACAAUUCCAAGCAAAAAGCAAAAAGGUGAGAAGUUGAUGGACUGGGAAAAAUGUGAGAAGCUACCCUGGAAUAUCAUAUUGUUACUAGGUGCUGGUUUAGCCAUAACUGACGGAGUUCGAUCCAGUGGCCUUGCUAAUAUAUUACCUGAAACCCUAGAUUUUUUGGAGGCAGUCCCAUAUGUUGCCCUUGCACCUGCUGUGUGUCUCAUAAGUAGUUCCAUCACUGAGUUGAUCAUAUCAAACAAUGCAACAACCACGCUUAUUAUUCCUCUCCUAAUUCAAAUUGCCAAACGAAUGCAUGUGCAUCCUCUCCUUCUGAUGAUUCCGGGUGGCAUUGGGGCACAAUUUGCUUUCUUGCUUCCUACGGCAACUCCUUCAAAUACUGUAGGAUUAGCCACUGGCCACAUUGAGAUCCAAGAUAUGAUCAAGAUUGGCUUGCCAUUGAAGAUUGUUGGGAUUGCUGUGUUGUCCCUUUUGAUGCCCACUCUUGGUAACAUUCCUUUUCUCUUCAUUAUUUAGCUCACUUCAAUUUUGAUCAAUUUUCAUCUUCACUAGUUAUACGUGAUGUUGUAGUUCAUAAGUAACUAUUGAGUUUUGGCUAUUGCAGGAGCUUUUGUAUUUAGGACAAGUGAACCAGUUCGGUGACUGAAAGUUCAAUAAUGUUACGAUGUCUCACAAAAUCGCAAGACAUAACAAAAAGUUGAACAUGUUUCGUUAGAGAUAGUCUUAUGAUCUCAUUCAUCUGUGAAUCUACCUGUGAUUGUGAGAUACCUAUAUGAAUUCGAAGCACGAUUUUUAAUUUACAUUUCAUAUAUGAUGUCCGUGAUGAUCAACCUUACAAAUAUGUGUGAUUAUGUACAUCAAAUCAAAUUAACUUUAAACCAAACAAAUAAAUAAAGUACAACUAAUGCAUAUAAAUUUUUGCUUAUUAUACAAGAUCACACCAUUACAUCAUCUCUAAUAAACUAACAUUACAUCCCAAGAAAAUUUAAGUUUUAACAGCACACCACAAUAUAUAUCGCACAUAAAGUUUAAGGCUAGAGUAACCAAGAUAAAUCAAUGAUCAGAGGCUUCCAUGGAGAUGGUGAUUUUCUGGGCUGUUAUUGAUCGCUACUCAUGAUCAAUUUUGCUUUCUCCGAACUCCUUGCUCUUCAACCUCGCGAGGAAGAUUUUUGAACUUUGAACAAUGGCUAAUCUCCAUGUAGCGGAGUGCAGGCAUAAUUUUCCUCACAAAUUCCACAUAGCAAGGGGGUUUAUGCUUCAUGGGAAUGUUUUCAUGCUUCAUGGUUGUUUCAAAUAUCUUACUUUACUUUAAACGUAUCUGAUUGGCAGAAAACAACAAAAGUCUUUGAAUUUGUAAAAGAUUCAUCUCUGAAAGCCGGAAUUGCAUCUCCAAUACGUUGUAUCACGUUCAACACAUAAAAAUUAAAUUGAAUAAAUAGCAUGUAGAUCAAUUCAAUAAAAUAAUAAAUUAAACAUAAAAGAAUGAUUAAAACGUAAUACUCUCCUGAUUAAAAAUCAAAAUCUCUUUAGCGCAGAGUCAAGAGCGUGUUGAUAACAUGUUGUAGGCACAAUUUGCUGAACAAUUAUGGAGGCCAGAGAGACGGGUGCGGCAUAGAGAGAGAAGAGAUAUAUAUGUAAUUGUGAGGUGCGUUAUAUUCUACUUCAUUGUGCCUUUAUUUAUAGCAGUAGGGAAUAUUAAUUCCUUAUCCCAAUAGGAUUACAACUCUAAUAGGAUAAUAUUUAGUCUAAGAGAUAUGGUAGAAUCCCAUAAGAUAUCCUAGAUAUGUUAGGAUUUACACAAUCACACUACUCACAAUAUAUCUUCUAUACAUCAAAUACAUUUCCUUGGCUCCAUUUUAUGAUGUCCAUUUCUUCAUUUCUUUGACUCCAAGAUAUCCAUCCUCAGUUACUCCUUCGUUUCCUCAUAGCUACCAAUGUACUCGCCGGCAAUCGUCCACAAAAUACCUAUGCAUUCCUUUACUUGCAUUGUGGCGGGACCAACCAGAGACCCUAGCAUGUGCCAAUCGACCUAACGUCCUCUAAUGAUGCUAACCAAUCGAUGGUUGGUCUGAUGGUAUCACUAAGAGGAUGUCAGGAAGGGACAUGCUAGGCUCUCUUGUUCGCCUUCGCACGGUGCAAGUAAGUUCAAGGAAUGCAAAGGUUCUGUGGCGACUACUUUGGUACCUAUGAGAAAAUGAGGGAGGAGCUGAUGAUGAUAACUUUCAGAUCGACGAAAAAUUCACAAAUUCGCGCAACGGGUCAAACUUUGUAAAGUUUUAGUUAUGAAUAGAAUAAUGGGCCUCCAAAUUUGUAGUGAAACGGGCCUGAUUAAAUUCGUAUGUUGGGCGUACAAAAGUAAAGCCCUAUUUUUUUAUAAGAAUUUUAACGAAAAACUUUCGGUACUGUUCACUUUAAUGAAAAACCAUAUUUUUACACUAAAAAGUCAAUCAUGAUACUAUUCACUUUACCUUUUAUUUUGUCCUUAUCGUUAAAACUCAAAGUUUUCAAACCAUUUUCAUUAGUUUCCAUUUUUUUUAACCUAAAUAAAAUCAGUCUUCCCAGCCAACGCGUGCAACUUGCUUCCAUAUUCUUACACCUCUACGCUUCUCCUCACUCCAGUCCAUCUUCUCCAUCCGACUUCGACGAAUUACAUAAAAUUUUGUGAUUGCGUACCAGCAUAAGAAUCUUCGGAUAUUUACGAUUUCUGAGUUGAGGCUGCCCAUCGGCAUCCAAUGCAACAGGUGUACACAGUGGCGGAGCCAGGAAUCUUACCACAAGGGGUCAUAGUGUAAAAGUCCAAAAAAAAAUUUAGGAUGGAAAAACAUGUUGAAAAUGAAAUCAUAGUACUUUCAUUCAUAAUUCAUAACGGAAACAAUAUUACAAGCUAUAAUUGUCCACGACGAGGUUUCAUAUUUUGAAAACGAAGCAUUAUAGCUUCAUUUUCAAUACAAGCAAAAAUAUCUCUCUCAAUAUAAACAAGCAAGCUAUCACUCAACCAUUGAUCUCCCAUUUUGUUCCUAAGUGGACCCUUAACAAUAUUCAUGACAGAAAAUGCUCUCUCCACUGAAGCAGUUGCAACUGGUAAAACUAAAGACAAUGUAAUGAGCAAAUAUACAUAAUUGAAUACUUGAUGCAUCCUUGUCUCCACCAUUUUUUUUGCAAGAUCACCAAUCCCUUUCAAUUGAGAGAAAUCACUACUGGAACGCACAUAAUGAAUAUAAAUCUCAAGUUGAUCUUCAAGUGCCAAACGAUCCUCAUCCGAAAAGUCUUGAGGAUAAAAUUGAGCAAGACGAAGUAACUUUGGUUUAUCAAAAGCUACAAAUGAAUCUUUCGGACUCAAACAUGCCAAACAAAUAAGCAACUCGGUAUUUACCUCAUUAAAGCGAUCCUCUAACUCCGUAAUUUGCUCAUCAAUGACAUAAAUAAAGAGCUCCACACGAUAAUAAUGACGAUUUGUCUUUAUUGGAGCAUUACGCCUUGACCUUCCUGGAAGUAUAAAUGCCUCUUCCAUGUUAGGAACAUCAAUAUAAUGUUUUUCACAAAAAGAAGAUACUUCAUCAACCAAUGCAUCGAACCCAUUAUUCCUCAUCCAAUGUAGCUUUUCCUUGCAUGAUUUCACUUGUUUAUACCAUAUUUAGGGUCUCGUAUUUAGACCUCGUAUAAAUACUCGAGAGACUUAAAUGUGAUUAUGUAAUAAAGGAAGGGGCAAAUAUGUAAUUAGGGGAGGAGCCCUUAUUCUAUAAAAGGGUAUCCUCACCCUCACAAACCCUAAGCCUCCUCACCCCUCUCAAAGCUCUCACUCACAGAGCUCUUUCUCUCCCUCACUUCUCAGAGAAAUAUAAUACAAUCAGUGUGGACGUAGCCCAAACCUUGGGGUGAACAACGAUAACUCUUGUGUCAUUUACAUUUUAUGCAGAUUCACGGUCGGAUUUACGUUGUACCAAGACCAUCCGGUUUUGUGCAUCAACAUUUGGCGCCGUCUGUGGGAAUCGAUACGAAAAGUUAUGUCGGUUCUUUCUCAAUUUUUUCACCUCCACCGUGAAUUUGCAAAUUCUGCAAAAACCCAGGAAACCAAGAACACCACUCUCUCUAAAAAUCCUAAGAUUCUCUCUCUAAGCCGCUACAUUUAUAGCUGCGUUAUUCACCCUCCCUUUUUUUUUUCUGGGUCUCUGUAAUUUCCACUGCAGAGUAAAACCCAGAUUUUUGGUUCUCAGAUCCAAGCUUUGGAACAGUGGUGGUCGAGUUUCAGUGUUCUCCCAGGGGAGGACCACUUGGUGUUCUCCUGUUGCUUCCUCCUCCAACUGAGACUCAUAGGCAGGAGCAAACGCUGAGCUUUUCUAACAACAAAUCAGAAGUCAGUUUUCUCAACAAAGAUGGAGACUUUGCCUACUACCAGAAGGAUACCACUCCCAUUUUCUCUCCUUACCCAAGGAAUGCAGGCCUACCAGGUUAUGGAAGCUUGAAUCUGAGCAUACAUGGGCCUUUGACUGGGCUAGAUGACCAUUCACUCAUUCUCAAUGGAUUGAGCUGGAGCACCAGGCCUCGAUAUACAAGUACAUGACUUCAAAUGUGCCUGUCCCUUCCAAUCUGCUCGUACCUCUCAAGAAACCCCCAAAUUCUGUGUAAUUUCAGCAACCCAUAAACAAAUUACUUUAAUGGCUUCCAAUGGGAAAUAUGGCUCUCACCUUUGCACUAUUUCUGAGCCAUCCCUGCCCGAGUCCCACGGCCAGCAGCAUACCCAAUACCCCCAUGGUUAUGGGCAGCCCUAACAACAACAUAAUCUGCCGUAUUUCUCUCCCCAGUACUCCCAUUGUCACGGGAAACCGUAACAUCAGCCAUAUGGGUCAUCUUUUUGCUUCGUCUACUUCAUAUGGGCAGUCGGGUUUUCCCGCAGGGACCGACCCGGCUGUGAUUAGAAGCUCUGAGAUGGUGGACAGGGACAUCGGCGGGUACAUCAACAAGCACGAUGACAUUUGGCUACAGUAGAGAUGAUGUGGGCAAGUUUCUACCUAUCUACCUUGCGGAAGGCCUUCUUCAAAGCGAUCCAUUUGAGGUCCUUGAUCAAAGAGGUGUUGGCCAGCUCAUCAAGAUGGCCACAGAAAAGGGUCGCGCAGCUAGGCCUAGCUUAAAGGUAACUGGAAAUGCAUAGAUUGGGAACAUACCAUAACAAAUUGGGAUGUCAAUUUAUAUUGAUGGCGUGUCAUAUACAGUCACAAGUGUACCAGAGGUUUAACCUCAGGACCAUUCGCCUGCCCAGUUUUUCUCUUCAAAAGUCCUACGGAUUCUCUUAGAGUUGGAACCGUCAAUUCUACCGUCGAUCCUCGCCGCGGAGGUCAGCUCGGGAAGGUUGAGCUGGCUCAAAAAACUACAUUGAUCAACCAUCCAGCACCCUCUCGUCCCGGGACAUGUCAUUUCGUAGUUCUGGAAGAUUUUACAGUGGAAGUUGCUGCCAGAGUAAGGGGUCAAUCGCCGGGGAUUCGAGCUUGGAAACAAGGCGCGUCGAAGAAGAGAUAUCCGAGAUGUUUCAGUGGCUUACAGGGGUAUGAUUGGUAAAUUCAAUAAAAGGACUGCAUCAGACAGGGAUGGGGAACAUGGGUGGGCAGAGAAGGAGUGGAGAGAUCAGAAAAAACAUGUGGGUGGUGUUGAAAAGACUGUCCAAACAGCUGUAGGAAUAUCGCCCUUAAUCAUGUAAUCAAGCGACAUAUCCAAAGCAGUUGUUCAUGGAAAAAAGCCGAGAUAGAGAAGCAAAAGCAAAUCAGAAAGAAAAAGAGAAAAGCAGUGGGAAACAGAAACAAAAGCAAAAGGAAAAACAGAAAAUGAAAAGAGAAAAGCAAAAGAUUUUUCUAUUAUUAUGAUUCUUUAUGUCUGCCAGAGACAGAGAGAGUGCAGAAGAAAAAUACUGCAAAAGUAAGGAAUAAACACCCCACCAGAAUGAUGUAAUUUAGUUUCCUUAUCUUUCGGAAACAUAUGUAUAAACCCCAUCAGAGGGUAAAGCCCAAAAUAAAUGGGCUGGAAUGUUGCGUGGAGGGCAAAGGCCCAUAAGCCCAAAAUAGCACCAACCCGGUGACUAAAAUUACAUCCAGUACUAAAAAAAUUAUUCGGCACCCUGCCGCUACUACCACCAACCAGGUGAUCAAAAGUACACCCAGUACUCCAAAAUUAUUCGGCAACUUACCGCUAUUACCACCAACUAGGUGAUGAAAUGUAUAACCCGUACUCUAAUAUCAUUUGACAACUAGCCAUUCAUGCCACCAAUUAAGUGAUGAAAUGUACAACCCGUACUCUAAUAUCAUUUGGCAACUAGCCAUUCAUGCCACCAACCAGGUGAUGAAAUGUACAACCCAUACUCUCCUUCAUGCCACCAACCAGGUGAUCAAAAGUACGCCUAGUACUCCAAAUUAUACAUGAGCAUUACUCAUGUCAUUCAUACAUAAACAUUCAUGAGCAUCACUCAUGACAAUCAUGCAUAAACAUUCAUGACCAUCAUUCAUGUCAACAUUUAUGAGCAUAACUCAUGUUAACAUUCAUGAGCAUCACUCAUGACAACAUCCAUGAGCAUCACUCAUAUCAAUCAACAUAAACAUUCAUGAGCAUCACUCAUGUCAAUCAGCUUCAAAAGCUUCAUUUACAAAAGCUCCAGCUUCGAAAGCUUCAUUUACAGAGCUCUAGCUUCAAAGCUUCACUUGCAAAGCUUUACCUACAAAGCUUCAGUGCAGGGUAUACAAAUACCGCCUCCGAACAACCGCCACUUCGGCCCAUACAUGGAUUCAAUUUGAAGUCUCCAGCCAACAGACUCUAUUGACCGAAGACUUGGGGGACUACAUUAUGUACCAUAUAUUGGGCCUCAACUGGGCCUCAUGAAAAAUACUUGGGGGACUCUAGCCCAUUAUUUAUGUAUUAAGGAGCGAGCCCUUAUUCUAUAAAAGGGACUCCCUCACUUUCAUUAAAAGAUCACCCAUGAUUUAUGUAUUGAGGAGCGAGCCCUUAUUCUAUAAAAGGGACUCCCUCACCAUCAUUAGAGAGCAACGCCACCAGCUGAGCAACCGCCUCGCCGCGAGCAUCACUCAUAACCCAUCAUUUAUGUAUUAAGGAGCGAGCCCUUAUUCUAUAAAAUGGAUUCCCUCACCUUUAAACGCCGCAAGCCGAGCCAACCAAGGCAACAUAAGCCACGAGCCGAGCAGCCUCACAGCGUGUGCUACUUCUAGUUGAGCGUCAUUUCAGAUUGAGCACUGCCUCAUAUCGAGCAUCAGUUCAAGACAACAUCUAGUUACUUCGGCCCACACAUGGACUGAAUUUCAAGUCUCCAGCCAAAAGACUCUCUUGACUGAAGACUUGGGGGACUACUGUUGAUACCAUAUUUAGGGCCUCGUAUUUAGACCUCGUAUAAAUACUCGAGAGACUUAAAUGUGAUUAUGUAAUAAAGGAAGGGGCAAAUAUGUAAUUAGGGGAGGAGCCCUUAUUCUAUAAAAGGGCAUCCUCACCCUCACAAACCCUAAGCCUCCUCACCCCUCUCAAAGCUCUCACUCAUAGAGCUCUUUCUCUCCCUCACUUCUCAGAGAAAUAUAAUACAAUCAGUGUGGACGUAGCCCAAACCUUGGGGUGAACCACGAUAACUCUUGUGUCAUUUACAUUUUAUGCAGAUUCACGGUCGGAUUUAUGUUGUACCAAGACCAUCCGGUUUUGUGCAUCAACAUCACUAAAGCCAUUGCAUUCACAAUUUCUUGAUCUUUCAUUUGCAAUGCUUGUGACAAAUCAUUUGUGAGUCCCAAUAUGACUUUCAUCAAGAAAAGGUGAAACACAAACUCAAAAGUACGUAUAUCUCUCAUUAACUUAUUUGCUUCACCCGCACUUUCAUUGGGAUUAUCAUCAAUAACCAUUUGAAGCACAUGAACCACGGAUGAAAACAUGGAAAUGAUGCUAAUCAAGGUACCAUAGUGUGAGUUCCAUCGUGUGUCACCGGCACGUUUGAGACUUGUUUCUUGAUUUAAGCCUCGCCCCGUUAUAAGACAAUCAUUUUCAAAAGCUAUCACAAGCUCUUCUUGAAGUUGCUCUCUAAGUAAAUCACGCCGCUUACAAGAUGCUCCAACAUGAUUAACCACACUAUUAGCCGUUGCAAAAAAAUAGGCAAUGUCUAUAUUCUUCUUUGCUACGGCAACAAGAGCUAGUUGAAGUUGAUGAGCAAAGCAAUGAACAUAAUAUGCACAAGGUUGUUCUUUCAAUAUCUUUGUUUUAAGGCCAUUCAACUCACCUCUCAUAUUGCUAGCACCAUCAUAACCUUGUCCUCGUAGCUUGGAAAUUCUCAAACCGUAGCGAGAAAAUAAUGUGUCAAUAACAUCCUUUAGUGAACUUGAAGUAGUGUUGGUAACAUGUUGGAUACCCACAAAUCUUUCAAUUACAUGCCCGUUGUCAUCCACAUAACGCAACACCAUAGCCAUUUGCUCUUUCACCGACACAUCACGUGCUUCAUCCACCAAUAUUGAAAAGAAUCUAUCUUUUAGACCAUCCAUGAUAGCAUCAAGUGUUUCAAGGGCACAUGAAUUCACAAUUUCUUUUUGAAUGCUAGGAGCUACUAAUCUGAGAUUCCCCGGAGCAUUUGCCAUCACAACUUCUCUAACUUUAUCAUUAUUAUCUGCAAGGAAUUGCAAUAGCUCCAAGUAAUUUCCCCUAUUGCUUGAAGUGGCACUUUCAUCAUGGCCACGAAAAGGAAGACCUUGUCGCAAUAAAAACUUAGUGCACUUGAUUGAUGCAUUCAAGCAUGUGCGAUAAGCCUUACGAGCUUGGUCAGAGUGUUUGCUCACUGCCGUUUCAAUAUGUGUAGAUUGAUUCAUCAAAUUUGUAGCAGCUUCUCUAGCCUUAUUAUGAACACUCCCAACCGGUCCAAUAUGCAUCUUAAAUCUUUCUCUCCCUUUCUUCCAAGUCUUAAAUCCAUCUCCAGUGAAAGCUUCACUACCCACUUGUGCAAAUUUGGUUUUAAAGAGAUAGCAAUAGAGACAAAAUGCCGCAUCUUUAGAUAUACUAUACUCCAACCAAUCAAACUCAUCAAACCAUUGGGGAAUGAAGCGUCGAUUAAUUCCCGACAUAUUAGUUAUUGGGAAAUUAUGACCUCUAGGUUGACAAGGUCCUUUUUGUAGAUAUGAUCUUCGGACCUCAUCUCUCAUAUUAGCAUCAUAAUCUAUUAUUCGAGUUCUCAAUCCAGGAUCCGCUUCAAGAUUACCCAAAACAUCAUCUAACUGACUUUGCCUUGAACUUGGAGUUCUUGAACUACCAACAGUAUUUGAACUAUCAACAUUAUUCGAACUACCCGAACCCGAUGAUGACUUUCUCUUAAAAAACCGUUCCAUAAUAAUUCUACAUAUACAAAAUAAUGAAAAUAAAUACUCACAAUAUAAACAAACCAUCAACAUAAUCAAAAUAAAUAUGAAUUGGAUUUCAAUUAAAUUAAAUAUCUCAUCUUGCAUUCUACAUAUACAAAAUAAUGAAAAUAAAAACUCACAAUAUAAACAAACCAUCAAUAUAAUCAAAAUAAAUAUGAAUUGAAUUUCAAUUAAAUUAAAUAUAUUCUACAUAUACAAAAUAUUCAAAAUAAAUACUCACAAUAUAAACAAACCAUCAACAUAAUCAAAAUAGGGAAAAUUAGGUUCACAUCCUUCUUUUUGUUACUUCAUUGAUUAAAAUCCUAUUCAUUUUCAAUUUUUGAUCAAGGUCCUUGGUAUUAAUAACAUCAUUAAUUAUUUGAAUAAUAAAAUAUUUUUAUUUUUAAAUAUAUUCCUGUAGUGUUAAAAAUGUUACAAUUAGUAUAUUUAUAUUUAUGGCUAAAAUUUUUAUCAUAUAUUUUUAUUUUUAGUUUGUACCAAUUUUUAAUUUGCAAAUAUUUUUUUAAUUUGUACCAAUUUUCUUUUCAUUUUUAAUUUGUACCCAUAUAUUAGUUUCUUUUUGUGCCCAUAUUUUUUAAAGUUUUAUUUGUGUUUGUACCCAUGUGUAUACCAUCACUUGACAUUGUAUAUUUAAUCAAUGAUAGAAAAAUUACAUAUGGUAUAUUUAUGUUUUAUGCCUAAACUUUGUACCAUAUAUUUAUAUUUUUAGUUUGUACCCACUUUUAAUUUGCAACAUUUUUUUUUUAAAAUUUGUAGUAUUUUCUUUUUAGUUUUAUUUUGUACCCAUUUAUUAAUUUCUUUUAGCACCUAUAUUUUUAAAAAUUCAUUUGUACUCAUAAUUUUUAAUCUUUUAUUUGUACCCUAAUUUAUUUAUGAUGUACCCAUUCUUCUUUAGUAAUGUACCACUUUGUUAUAUGUGAAAUGUACCAAUUUUUUUGUAAAAUGUACCAAUUUUUUUAACACUAUGGAUACAUUCUUUUGCCAUUUAUUAUUUCUUAUUUUUACAUAGUUUUUAUCCAUUUAUUCAAUUAAAAUGUUUGAAUUUUUUUUAUUAUAACCGUUUCUAAUAGUAUUAUAAUGAAGGAUUUUAAAUUUAUAGGAUUAUAAAUCUCAUAAAAUAUCAAACAAUUAAUUGCAAAACUAUAAGAAUAUAAAUAUUAAUAGUAAUAUAAUGAGGUGUACAAAGUCAAGGGACCUUGAUCAAACUUUGAAUACUAUUAAGGUUUUAAUCAAAGAAUGUUAAAGAUUAGGGACCGCAAUCAAAUUAUCCCAUCAAAAUAAGUAUGAAUUGGAUUUCAAUUAAAUUAAAUAUCUCAUCUUGCAUUCUACAUAUACAAAAUAAUGAAAAUAAAAACUUACUUGAAUUGUGAAAUUUCACAAUAACAAUGAGCAAAUACAAAGAGCAAAGCUGGUGGAGCAAGGGAGGAGAUGGAGUUGGAGGCACCUUAAUGGCGGCAGCAGGGGAGGAGAUGGAGUUGUGGGUUUGGGGGGGAUUGAGUUUGGAACUUAGGGUUGGAGGAGGAGAAAACAAAAGAAAUUUGGGGGGUUUUGGAAUGAAAGGCUUCGAAUCUGUGUGAAAUAGGGCUGAAAAGGACACGGUCGGUAUUUUUUUUUUGUUCAGACCUACCCAGGACACGCUGGGCAUUUUUUUUUUUGUUCAGAUCAUUUAAAAAAAAUUCCUGGGCCAAAACGACGUCGUUUUGCCCAGGUUUUAAAAAAAAACAGGCGCGCGCCUGCGCCUUCGUCUUCCUCUUGCCCAGCCGAGAGUUCUUUCGGACCUUUCGUCGAACACUUGGUGUGCAGCCAAGGGGUCGCACCAGCAGCUCCAAAGGGUCUCUAAGGUUGUUUCCAUGGCUUCCAAGAGGUCGUGCGACCCCAUUGACCCCACUGUGGAUCCGCCACUGGGUGUACAAAAUUCGUGGUCGAAGGCACCAACUUCAACUCCCGCAAAGAUUUCGUCCCUGGCGAGGUACUUGGAUUAUUUAUUCUUGGAAAAAUUAGUAUCCGGUCCCUAGUUUUUACUGUUCAUUGACUAAGACCUUAUUAGUUCUCAAAUUUUGAUUCAAGUCCCUAGCAUUAAUGUGAUAAUGAAUUUACAUGUUUAUUAUAUAAUUUUUUAAUAUAAAAAUUAGUAAUUAAUUUAGGGUUUAAUACUCACACCUCUAUUAAACUUCUAAUAAAUUUUCAAUUCAAACAUUUCCAAAAUAAUAAAAAAUUAAAUUAAAUUAAGUUUGUACCUAUUAGUUUUUUUAUAUAUAUAAAAAGAUUCUCAAUUUUUUAAUCUUAAAUGUACCCAUUCAUAUAAUUUUUCAAUUUUUUAAAUCUUAAAUGUACCCAUUCUCAAAUAUAUCAAUUUGUUAUAUGUAAAAUGUACCUUUUUUUUUAAUAUAAAAUCCAUUCAAAUUUUUUAAUUCAUGUUUAAACUCAUAUGGGUACAUUCUUUUUCGUUGAUUUGAGAAUGUAUCCAUGUUUUGGUACAAUAACUUUUUUUGUUAAUUUUGGUUAAUGUACCCAUACAUAUAUGUAUACACACACACACACAAUAUAAUAGAGAGUAUAAUAUUUAUUAUUUUUAAUCCCAUAAAUUAUGGGUUUUAUUUAAAAUCUCAUUAAUAUAAACAAUUACAAAUUUCAAUUUUGAAUUUUGAAUUAAAAAAAUAUAGUAACUUACAUUAUUACAUUAAUGUCAGGGAUCUCAAUAAAAAACCAAAAACUAACAAAGUUUCAAUCAAAGAAUGUUGAUAGCUAGGGACCACAUCCAAAGUGUCCCUUUAUUAUUCUUUAAUCUUGUUCGUCUUUUGGUUUUAGUUUUAACAUAAUACCUAAUAUGGAUAUCUCUCUCUAGGUUUUGUUUUACUUUUACAAGAAUAAAGGAGCUAGGGUUUUCUAUUUACGCAUUAUGUUUAGGGUUUAAGGUUACCGUUAAAAAAUAGAAAAUUUAGCACAAGUAUCAUCUGAACUAUUCCAGGAGUGUGCAUUUACUAUCAAACAAUUUUUUUUGACAAGCUACAACCAAUACUUCCUUUUGAGUGCUAUUUUACUUUCUUAUUUGCUAGCACAUGAUCUCUGGCAAUCCAAAGCCUAUAAAACCACUUUCACAUGAUCAUAAAUAUAUGUAGUUGACCUACCACCAAAAAGUAAAGACGAAUAAUUGAUCAGCAUAUAAAUGUUUCUCAAAUACUGUCUCUCUCAAAGUCUGAAAGAACAGACAACAAUAGUCUUUGUCCGACUGAUGAUAAUAUGAUCAUCUGAACAUACUAUGGACUGCAUACUAGAAAACAGAGAAGGAAGCUUCCCUAGUCACUCUCAUUUUCAAGCUUUUUUGUGUUACUCGACCUUUCCCUCGCGGUGAAUGAACAGAUGAAUCGAAAGAUAUACUCACGCGUGGAGAUCAUGGCUAGAGGAAAUGAAAGUGAGGCUGAAACUUGAAUGAAGAGAAAUGAAAGAAUAAGUUGUUAUCGUUGAAAAUGAAUUUUACAUUGAUGGGAGGAGGAACUUUGCAUAGACUUUUAUGGUAGAACCUCAACUUUUUCAUGAUACUAGAACAUGUUGUCCCACGUGUGAAGCCCAAUGGCCACACGAGUUUCACGUCAUCCCGUUUGUGUUUGUCCACGUGUUAGGUUUGAAAUUUGCCACACAUAAGGAGGCGUAUUGAGAAUGAAUAUCAUAUUGAUAGGAAAAUGGACCCUGCAUAUGAGCUUAUAAGUAAGUUUGUCUAUUCAUUAUAUUGCCAAUUAGUUUUAUGGUGUAACUCCAACUUUUUUCAGUUAUUCCAAAAUAAAAUCAAAUGUACAUGGCCUCACAGGAAGGAUUGAUGCCCUACUCAUACACAUGUUGACAUUUCCUGAUCCCGUGUGAGAUACUUGGAGAAGAAUCAUCAAGGCCUUGCCCAAUAUGUGUUUUAUGUCACUUUUACCAACAAAAUACGUAUCACUAAGAGAUAUGAGUUUUGAUGGUCUUAUUUUCAGUCCCACACGUUAUCUUUCGAAAUUGAGGGCAGCUGGAAUAAUUGAUCACUAGCCACCAACCAAUUUUAAGAAAACUAAAGGAAAAGAAGUAAAAAGGCCAAAAGAAGAGGACCAUACAUAUUAAUUAUACCCUACCUUAGUGAUUGUGUUUGAUUGAACAUUAUUGCUCUUAAAAUGGCAAUUUUAUCCUCUCGAUCGAUAGAAACCACAAAGUUGGAUAGCUACAAUGUGUGUUCCACGAGGCAAUUAUGAGUUUUAAAUUUUAUUUUUUGUGAUUAUCUCGACGUAAGGAUUUUAAAACUAGAAAACAUUAAACUUACUGCAAAUUAUAAUACCAUUUAAAUCCCUAGAUUUAGGAUUGCUCCAGCUAAAUCGACCUCUAAGUUAUGAUUAUUAUUUGAGCAGUAGAUUACACCGAACUUUAGAGACCAACUUCUAGAGGUUGAUAUGUAUUAUUUUUACGUGUCGUGAUCGGAUUAUACUAAUAGAAAAAUAAGCACGUUAAAUAGUAAUAAUUCAAUCAUCAUCAUGUCAUAUAAUUUAAAUUGAUAAUCUAUUUAGCAUUAUCUUAAAAAAUGCUCCAAUACUACCUGUAGGAAUAGGAUCCUCUCUGGAUCUUUUUUUGUGGGAAUCAGAAUGAUAAAUCAAUCGUGUCCAUUUAUCGUAUAUCGUUCGUUUAUAGUUAUUAAUAAAAACUGACCGCACAAUAUUAAUUGAUUCCUUAAUUCCCACAAAAAUGAUCGGAAAGGAUCCUUGUCCCUACCUGUAAGCUUAAUCUUCAGUGAAAAAAUGAAUUUGGGUCUGCCACGUGUACAGACAGAUCAUUUCGAGGUCAAGAAAACAAUAUAAAAAUCAAACUAAUUGUGAACAAGCUUCUCCAUCCUUCCACCGAACCAUUCCUGAGUGUUCAUUGUUUUUUGACAUUGACAUGUUUCAUACCACAUGGUUUAUAGUACAAUCAUUCAGAUGAUAGCCUGGCUGGACCUUGCAUUAUUAUCAAGUUCAAUGGUUGUGGCAAUUUGUAGUCCCUUUCUGCACACGUGGCCUCUUUGCCCACACUAAAUUUGAAUGAGAGGUCAUCUAUUAGAAAAUGUCACACUUUGCCAUGUUCUUGGAUAAAAAUUUUGCUAACUCUUAGCGAAUAAAUGACAAUAAGUAGCAAUGUCCAAUUUAAUUAGCAAUAUCAAAAUGAAAGCCAAACUUGUUUACUACUACUUUAGUGAUGAAUGAGUCAAAAACUUCUAACACACAAGUUAUAUUAUUCAAAGCUCAUACAAAUAUGAUCUACAAUACUUACGUGUGACAUUAUAUAUAAAAAGAAAGAUAAAUUGCUUCCAAAAAAAAAAAAUUAAAAGAUAAAUUUAUCUACCAUGUUAUAUGUUUUAAGAAACGAUAUUUUAAAACACUUUAAUUUAAAAAAUUUAUUUGUAUUAGAGUGUGUAUCAGUAACAUGAACCAUUUGUAAGUCUAAAUGGCAUUACUCUAUAAAAACAAAAAGACUCAAACUCAAAGACAAAAAGACGGACACACUAUAUCGGCCCACCAAUUAACCUUACUUCCUUGUAUGCAUAACUAGAUAGAAAAGCCUUACUUCUUUGUAUACAAAACCAAAUAUAAAAGCACCAUUUCCUCGCAUUAUAUAACCAAGUGAUUUCCGUCAUCCAAUCCAACAUCAAUAGCAUGGAUAAUCAUCCAAUAUCCGAAGACCCCAAAACUCCACUUCUCCCUCUCCACGAUCAAAUCCAACGGUCGCAGAGCUUCCAUUCAUCCUUGAAAUCAAUUCUAACACUCAAGAACUUCUUCGUCCUCCUCGGACCUCUUCUGUGCACCAUUAUAUGCCUCUGUGUGAAGCUAGAUGGCCCGGUGGCCAGCCGGAACAUGUUGGCGGUGCUGGUGUGGGUGUUUGCUUGGUGGCUCACGGAGGCCGUGCCCAUGCCAAUUACCUCCAUGUCCCCACUCUUUCUCUUCCCUCUCUUCGGAAUUGCCUCUGCAGAUGAUGUUGCCCACUCUUACAUGGAUGAUGUUAUUGCCCUUCUUCUUGGAAGCUUUAUAUUGGCUCUUGCUGUUGAGCAUUACAACAUCCACAGAAGAUUGGCCUUGAAUGUGAGUUUCUCUAGCUACUAUGUUUCUCUGCUAAGAUGGAUCACCUUAAUGGUUAUUUAUGCUAUGAUUGUUAUGCUUAAUGGUUAUUUUAGUACAAGCGCACAGAUACAUGAGAAAAAGAAAGAAAGGGACCAAAUGGCAAACAUUUUACUUCUCUCUUCAUUCACAAUUUCCCUCUGUUAUGUUUGCAUUCCUUGUUUGGUAGAAAGCUAUUGCAGCCAUAUUAUAUUACAUAUAAUAAUUUUAAAUUUGGUUUGUCCGGAAAUUCAUUGGAUUAGAUUUGAGAAAUCUGUCAUUUACUAGUUAGUUCACUAACUAAUCCCAUAGAUAUAAUAAUAAGGAGUUUUAACGAAAAGUCCGUAAUACUGUUCAUUUUAACGAAAAACUACAUUUUUACAUUAAAAUGUCAAUUAUGAUACUAUUUACUUUACCCAUUAUUUUGUUUUUAUUGUUCAAACUCAAAGUUUUAAAGUUAUUUUCAUUAAUUUUCUUUAUAUAAUAUCCUAUCGAAAUUCUAAAUAUUGCAAAAAAUAUAUCUGACUAUUUUUUCUUCCUAAAUUAAUGCACUUUUGUCCAAGAAUACGGAAAUGCAAGAGAGGAGCGUCAAUGACGCUUCCCUAAUCCAUGGUAAAUGUAACGUUAGAAAGGAAACGUGAAUUUGAAUUCUCAUACAUUUCAUUCCAAAAUCAACAAGAAUCAAAUGGAUAGUCCUCCCUCCAAUGACCCCAAAAUCCCACUUCUCCCACUUGAUGAUCCAAAUCCAAACCAUAACUCACAAAUCAACUACCCUUCUUCACUGGAAUCCAUUCUAACAUCCAAGAACUUGUCCAUCCUCCUGGGUCCUCUUUUGAGCACCGUUAUUUGCCUCUGUGUCAACUUAGAUGGCACCAUCGCUAGCCGGAAUAUGUUGGCAGUGCUUGCCUGGGUGUUUGCUUGGUGGCUCACAGAGGCCGUGCCGAUGCCAGUUACCUCAAUGGCCCCUCUCUUCCUCUUCCCGCUCUUCGGAAUUACCUCUGCAGAUGAUGUUGCCCACUCUUACAUGAACGAUGUUAUUGCCCUUGUUCUUGGAAGCUUUAUUUUGGCUCUCGCCGUUGAGCAGUAUAACAUACACAAAAGAUUGGCCUUGAAUGUGAGUCCUCUUUUCAUUGUUGUUUUCUCAUAUUAACCCAUUUAUGUGAUACAUCGUUCACAGAAUAUUAUUGACGUCAAUAAAGCAAACAUAAAUAUAUUUUCGACAACAUUAAUAUAUGUCACAACUUGAGAAUUGAGUGCCUUAGUGUCUGAACCCUACUAGGGUGAGAGCCACAUUGUGCUCGAACCCUGUCGCACACUAUCCGCUUAGGGUUUUCAAAAUAAUUUUGUUUUGGGAUUCAAGCGAUACUAAUGAAGAAGAAUCGAACUUUGGACUUCAAGUACAAAAAUAAUUUAUGGUAAUGCUAAAGAGACAAUUUAUUUAAGCUAAAUUUUGGAGGCUAUAUGGUGUGGUUGUUGAUGAUUGAGAGAAAAAUUUUAAUGUGCCGGAAAUACGACUCGGUACACCAAGUGUUAUAAUAAAAUUGGUUGGAUUUUCUUUUUUCAAGUUUCCAACAAAGUGUAUUAUUACACUUGGUUUGUUGGGCAGUGUUUGCAGCACACAGAAAAAUCUCUCGACGUUUGAUUAUUACUUAAAAAGUAAUGCUAUGGAAACUCAAUUUGUAAACUAAAUUAGCAAAUCAAAUGAUCUAUCACUAAUAAAAAUGAGUUAUCAAUAAUUAAGUAAUAAUUCAAUCAUCAACUUACAUGUCAUUUAAUUUACAAAAUUUAGUCUACAAAUUGUUCUUACUUAAAUAUUGAUUCACGUAUUGGUGGAACACUUACAAAUUGGACAAGUUGAUUUACCUAGUAUUACUAGUUAACCCUUUUUUUAUCCCGAACACAGAUAACCCUGGUGUUCUGCGGAGAUCCCUUGAAUCCGCCAUUGCUGCUGCUGGGAAUAUGUGGGACCGCAGCAUUCAUCAGCAUGUGGAUGCACAACGUGGCAACUGCGGUGAUGAUGAUGCCCGUAGCCACCGGCAUUCUCCGGCGGUUUCCAACGGGUCCCGACCAGUCCGUGGUUGCGAGCAACUUUUGCAAAGCCGUGAUUCUGGGGAUGUUGUACUCCAUAACCAUAGGAGGGAUGAGCACUCUGACGGGGACAGGUGUCAAUCUCAUAUUGGUUGGAAUGUGGAAGAGCUAUUUCCCACAAGCAGCUCCGAUCACCUUCAGCACCUGGUUCUGUUUCGCCUUCCCUUCGGCAUUGUUGAUGUUCUUGGCGCUGUGGGCUUUGCUUUGCUACUUGUAUUGCUCAAGGAGUUCAGGCCAGGCUCUCUCUGUUUAUUUAGACAAAGCCCAUUUGAAGAAGGAGCUCGAAUUG